rnacentral:rRNA from 1 species
CGCUAGUAAUCGCGGAUCAGAAUGCCGCGGUGAAUACGUUCCCGGGUCUUGUACACACCGCCCGUCACACCAUGGGAGUCAGUAACGCCCGAAGUCAGUGACCUAACUGUAAAGAAGGAGCUGCCGAAGGCGGGACCGAUGACUGGGGUGAAGUCGUAACAAGGUAGCCGUAUCGGAAGGUGCGGCUGGAUCACCUCCUUUCUAAGGAA